rnacentral:rRNA from 1 species
GGUCAUGGACAUACCAACCUGAACACACCUGAUCUCAGAAGCUAAGCUGGGUUAGCCUCGGUUAGUAUUUGGAUGAGAGAAAGGAAGUUUAAAAUUGGUCA